rnacentral:pre_miRNA from 1 species
AGUGGAACUGCUGGAUCAUAUGGUAACUCUAUAUUUAAUUUUUUGAGGAACUGCCAAACUGUUUUCCAGAGUACCUGCACCGUUUUACAUUCCCACCAGCAGU